rnacentral:rRNA from 1 species
UACGGAGGGGGCUAGCGUUGUUCGGAAUUACUGGGCGUAAAGCGCGCGUAGGCGGACCUGCAAGUCGGGGGUGAAAGCCCGAGGCUCAACCUCGGAACUGCCUUCGAUACUGCGGGUCUCGAGUCCGGGAGAGGUGAGUGGAAUUCCUAGUGUAGAGGUGAAAUUCGUAGAUAUUAGGAAGAACACCAGUGGCGAAGGCGGCUCACUGGCCCGGUACUGACGCUGAGGCGCGAAAGGCGUGGGGAGC